CAGCAACCGCGGUUAUACAAAUAAUGCAAAUAAAAUUUAUUAAUAAUAGUUAAUUUGUUUUAUUUAAGUUUAUUUUAAAUUUUUUAAGUGAAUUUUAAAUUUAAUUAAUUUAAAAUAAAUGAAGCUAGUAAAUUUUAGUGAUAAACUAGGAUUAGAUACCCUAUUAUUUAAAAAGUAUUUUUUUUUUGUUUGAGUAGUAAUAGUUAUUUUCUUAAAACUUAAAAAAUUUGGCGGUGUUUUAGUCUAUUUAGAGGAACCUGUCCUGUAAUCGAUAAUCCACGUUGGACCUUACUAAUUUUUGUUUUCAAUUUGUAUACCGCCGUUAUCAGAAUAUCUUAAAAGAGGAAAAAAAUUUUCUUAAUUUAUUAAUAAAAAUGAUGUCAGGUCAAGGUGCAGUUUAUAUUUUAGAAGAGAUGGGUUACAAUAAAAUUAUUUAUACGAAGAAUUUUAUUGAAAAAUAAAUUUAAAGGUGGAUUUAAAAGUAAAGUAAUAAAU
rnacentral:rRNA from 1 species